rnacentral:rRNA from 3 species
CCUGGUCUUGACAUCCACAGAACUUUCCAGAGAUGGAUUGGUGCCUUCGGGAACUGUGAGACAGGUGCUGCAUGGCUGUCGUCAGCUCGUGUUGUGAAAUGUUGGGUUAAGUCCCGCAACGAGCGCAACCCUUAUCCUUUGUUGCCAGCGAUUAGGUCGGGAACUCAAAGGAGACUGCCAGUGAUAAACUGGAGGAAGGUGGGGAUGACGUCAAGUCAUCAUGGCCCUUACGACCAGGGCUACACACGUGCUACAAUGGCGCAUACAAAGAGAAGCGACCUCGCGAGAGCAAGCGGACCUCAUAAAGUGCGUCGUAGUCCGGAUUGGAGUCUGCAACUCGACUCCAUGAAGUCGGAAUCGCUAGUAAUCGUGGAUCAGAAUGCCACGGUGAAUACGUUCCCGGGCCUUGUACACACCGCCCGUCACACCAUGGGAGUGGGUUGCAAAAGAAGUAGGUAGCUUAACCUUCGGGAGGGCGCUUACCACUUUGUGAUUCAUGACUGGGGUGAAGUCGUAACAAGGUAACCGUAGGGGAACCUGCGGUUGGAUCACCUCCUUACCUUAAAGAAGC